GACGAACGCUGGCGGCGUGCUUAACACAUGCAAGUCGAGCGGGAUCCAACCGGUGGCAACACCGGGGAAGAUCUAGCGGCGAACGGGUGAGUAACACGUGAGCAACCUGCCCCGAAGACUGGGAUAACACCGGGAAACCGGUGCUAAUACCGGAUGUCGUCAUUAGGCCGCAUGACCUGAUGAUGAAAGGAUUCAUCGCUUCGGGAGGGGCUCGCGGGCUAUCAGCUUGNGGUGGGGUAACGGCCUACCAAGGCGACGACGGCUAGCUGGUCUGAGAGGACGACCAGCCACACUGGGACUGAGACACGGCCCAGACUCCUACGGGAGGCAGCAGUGGGGAAUCUUGCGCAAUGGGCGAAAGCCUGACGCAGCGACGCCGCGUGAGGGAUGACGGCCUCGG
rnacentral:rRNA from 1 species